rnacentral:lncRNA from 1 species
CAAAUAUAAAUCAUUUCAUUGCUCAGCCCCAAGCGGAGAUGAUAUCUGCCUUAAGAAUAGCUACUUCAAAGAAGUUCAGAACACAUUUGCAUAAAGCAGUUGUCAGAUUGUUUGUGUUUAGUUCAAGGGGAUGAAAAUUAAUUGUAAAAUGCCAUGUGGGAAAUUUGUUCAUGCAGUGUCCAUAGGGAUGUACGACUUCAUAACUUGGAUUUUACACAGAAUGGUUCAAAGGACAAAUUUUAAAAUCAUAUUUCCCCUCCCAUUAUGGUUAAGUACACAGGCACAUCUCAAUGGACUACAAAUUGCUUGUGUUUGCUUAAGUUCUGCUAAUAAACCAUCUCUGGAAGGGGUGCCUAUUUGGAGUAAUUAAAUAGUUGGCUCCUGUGGUGGUAAAUGGAAAACAUAGCAGAAGAAAACGUGAUUUUCCACAACACUGAAUUAGAGACACACCUCAAAGAGGUAUCUAGUGUGAUUGACUGAAAACAAAAAUAACUUUCCCUCUACUUUUGAAGAUGAGAAAAAAACAGGUGGAGGAGGCCUGCAAGGGAAUGUAUCCCCACCAUGUGAAUAUUGCAUAUUCCUGUGAGGACAGAAAACAAAGCUUACAAAAGAGAGUGCCAUAUAUUUCAUCAAUGAAUGGAAAGUUGCUGCAAGAACUCAGAGAAAAAUGCAUGUGGCAUUUCAGAAACUUUCAGGUUGAAAUCAAAGGCCUACUCAUUUUGAAAGCAGAAGUGAAGGAAGCACUAUUGGUAUCCUGCUCGUUUCUGUAUCUUCCACUCCAGAAGUGCAUGGUCCUGAGAUGUGAGUAGAGUCAAGUUCAAAAGCCUGUCUUGGGGAAUCACUGGAAAAAUCCCUAUGGCAUUGUGUGUUUGCUGAAUAUGUACUAAGUACUGAUGCUUAAGGACUGAAGAAAGUUUUAUUUUAAAAUACAAGAUAAACAUACAAGAGAUCCC